GAUAUGGAAUAUUGCAACAUGACCAAUUUUUUUUUUUGUUGUGGCAGUUAUUAUUUUUACUAAGGUUGAGCAAGGAUACCUUUACUGACCUUUUUAUUUUCUAGUUGGGGAGCUGUUGGAAGCCUCUGAGGAAGGGUGAUGGCAUUUAGAAAUUAGGUCUUUUCUCCUAAGCUGUAGCUAUUUCCAAGAAUUUAAAUCAAUCUUUAAUUCUUUGCAGAAAUGGCAGGGAACAAACAGCAAAUUCAACUUGGUUUUGUUUCUGUUAUCUGUGUGUGAAACAAAAUAAAGAAGUUCAGCCUAGAUAGGAUCUGCAUGAAUGUUGAUGGAGAAACAAGAAUUGGAACUUGGCCUUCUAGUAGGAAGGAAAAAGAACAAAACCUCUGUGUGUACCUCAAGACAUUGCUCUUGCUGUAAGAAUAGGAUGCAGGACUAACACCCUAUCUCUGGUAAGUUUCUAAAGAAACUGGAGUUUAGAUUAACUUUGUCAAUGGCUGACCUUUCUAGCUUGUCUGUUUCUUUCCAAUUAUCCAAUUCCUAUGGGGAUGGUGAACAUAUUUGCAUGGUUGCUGCAGGUAGUUCUGGUGAUAGGGACCUUCAUAAACAAGCUGAAAUGACUUGUACAUCUUAAAUUUGGCAAUUGAAGACUCUGAAUGACAGUAAGUUAUUGGGAGGGAAACAAACAUUAUCAUCAGAGAAAUCAAAGGAAUUUUGGAAGUUCUGCUUAUUAGAUUAAUGAUCUCUGACCAAUCUGCACAAAGCCUUCUUCUUGGACUAGAAAUA
rnacentral:lncRNA from 1 species